rnacentral:tRNA from 1 species
GGGGUUGUAGCUCAGUGGUAGAGUGCUUGCCUUGAAUGCAUGAGGCCCUGGGUUCCAUCCUCAGCACCA